rnacentral:rRNA from 1 species
AAUAUUGGACAAUGGGCGAAAGCCUGAUCCAGCCAUGCCGCGUGGAUGAUGACGGNCCNNGGGUUNUNAAGUCCUUUCGACGGNNNNNAUAAUGACGGUCCCCGUAGAAGAAGCCCCGGCUAACUUCGUGCCAGCAGCCGCGGUAAUACGAAGGGGGCUAGCGUUGCUCGGAAUCACUGGGCGUAAAGCGCACGUAGGCGGCUUUUUAAGUCAGGGGUGAAAUCCUGGAGCUCAACUCCAGAACUGCCUUUGAUACUGGAGAGCUUGAGUUCGGGAGAGGUGAGUGGAACUGCGAGUGUAGAGGUGAAAUUCGUAGAUAUUCGCAAGAACACCAGUGGCGAAGGCGGCUCACUGGCCCGAUACUGACGCUGAGGUGCGAAAGCGUGGGGAGCAAACAG